rnacentral:piRNA from 1 species
AUUGAUUGCAUAGCUCCUCAUGUCUUU